AUUGAACGCUGGCGGCAGGCCUAACACAUGCAAGUCGAACGAGUGGCGGACGGGUGAGUAAUGUCUGGGAAACUGCCUGCUGGCGGGGGAUAACUACUGGAAACGGUAGCUAAUACCGCAAACCAUCAGAUGUGCCCAGAUGGGAUUAGCUUGUUGGUGGGGUAACGGGUCACAAAGGCGACGAUCCCUAGCUGGUCUGAGAGGCUGACCAGCCACACUGGAACUGAGACACGGUCCAGACUCCUACGUGAGGCAGCAGUGGGGAAUAUUGCACAAUGGGCGCAAGCCUGAGGCAGCCAUGCCGCGUGUAUGAAGAAGGCCGUCGGGUUGUAAAGUACUUUCAGCGGGGAGGCGUUACCCGCAGAAGAAGCACCGGCUAACUCCGUGCCAGCAGCCGCGGUAAUUC
rnacentral:rRNA from 1 species